rnacentral:rRNA from 1 species
UACGUAGGGUGCAAGCGUUAAUCGGAAUUACUGGGCGUAAAGCGUGCGCAGGCGGUCUUGCAAGACAGAUGUGAAAUCCCCGGGCUCAACCUGGGAACUGCAUUUGUGACUGCAAGGCUGGAGUGCGGCAGAGGGGGAUGGAAUUCCGCGUGUAGCAGUGAAAUGCGUAGAUAUCCGGAGGAACACCGGUGGCGAAGGCGGCUUCCUGGACCGACACUGACGCUGAGGCGCGAAAGCUAGGGGAGCAAACGGG